ACUUGAUGGAGCUUGCUCCAUUAAGUUAGCGGCGGACGGGUGAGUAACACGUGGGCAACCUGCCUGUAAGACUGGGAUAACUCCGGGAAACCGGAGCUAAUACCGGAUAGUAUCUUGAACCGCAUGGUUCAAGUUGGAAAGACGGUUUCGGCUGUCACUUACAGAUGGGCCCGCGGCGCAUUAGCUAGUUGGUGAGGUAAUGGCUCACCAAGGCAACGAUGCGUAGCCGACCUGAGAGGGUGAUCGGCCACACUGGGACUGAGACACGGCCCAGACUCCUACGGGAGGCAGCAGUAGGGAAUCUUCCGCAAUGGACGAAAGUCUGACGGAGCAACGCCGCGUGAGUGAUGAAGGUUUUCGGAUCGUAAAACUCUGUUGUUAGGGAAGAACAAGUGCGAGAGUAACUGCUCGCACCUUGACGGUACCUAACCAGAAAGCCACGGCUAACUACGUGCCAGCAGCCGCGGUAAUACGUAGGUGGCAAGCGUUGUCCGGAAUUAUUGGGCGUAAAGCGCGCGCAGGCGGUUUCUUAAGUCUGAUGUGAAAGCCCCCGGCUCAACCGGGGAGGGUCAUUGGAAACUGGGAAACUUGAGUGCAGAAGAGGAGAGUGGAAUUCCACGUGUAGCGGUGAAAUGCGUAGAGAUGUGGAGGAACACCAGUGGCGAAGGCGACUCUCUGGUCUGUAACUGACGCUGAGGCGCGA
rnacentral:rRNA from 2 species